rnacentral:rRNA from 1 species
GACGAACGCUGGCGGCGUGCUUAACACAUGCAAGUCGAACGGAAAGGCCCUGCUUUUGUGGGGUGCUCGAGUGGCGAACGGGUGAGUAACACGUGAGUAACCUGCCCUUGACUUUGGGAUAACUUCAGGAAACUGGGGCUAAUACCGGAUAGGAGCUCCUGCUGCAUGGUGGGGGUUGGAAAGUUUCGGCGGUUGGGGAUGGGCUCGCGGCUUAUCAGCUUGUUGGUGGGGUAGUGGCUUACCAAGGCUUUGACGGGUAGCCGGCCUGAGAGGGUGACCGGCCACAUUGGGACUGAGAUACGGCCCAGACUCCUACGGGAGGCAGCAGUGGGGAAUAUUGCACAAUGGGCGGAAGCCUGAUGCGGCAACGCCGCGUGCGGGAUGACGGCCUUCGGGUUGUAAACCGCUUUCGCCUGUGACGAAGCGUGAGUGACGGUAAUGGGUAAAGAAGCACCGGCUAACUACGUG